ACGCUGGCGGCACGCCUAACACAUGCAAGUCGAACGAAGUAGCAAUACUUAGUGGCAGACGGGUGAGUAACAUGUAGGUAUCUGCCCUUUGGCCUGGAAUAACACGAGGAAACUUGUGCUAAUACCGGAUAAGUCUUUACGGAGAAAGCUUUAUGCACCAUUGGAUGAGCCUGCACUUGAUUAGUUUGUUGGUAGGGUAAUGGCCUACCAAGACUAUGAUCAAUAGCUGAUUUGAGAGGAUGAUCAGCCACAUUGGGACUGAGACACGGCCCAAACUCCUACGGGAGGCAGCAGUGGGGAAUCUUGCACAAUGGAGGAAACUCUGAUGCAGCGAUGCCGCGUGAGUGAAGAAGGCCCUUGGGUUGUAAAGCUCUUUCGUCGGGGAAGAAAGUGACUGUACCCGAAUAAGAAGGUCCGGCUAACUUCGUGCCAGCAGCCGCGGUAAUACGAAGGGACCUAGCGUAGUUCGGAAUUACUGGGCUUAAAGAGUUCGUAGGUGGUUGAAAAAGUUGGUGGUGAAAUCCCAGAGCUUAACUCUGGAACUGCCAUCAAAACUUUUCAGCUAGAGUUUGAUAGAGGAAAGCAGAAUUUCUAGUGUAGAGGUGAAAUUCGUAGAUAUUAGAAAGAAUAUCAAUUGUGAAGGCAGCUUUCUGGAUCAUUACUGACACUGAGGAACGAAAGCAUGGGUAGCGAAGAGGAUUAGAUACCCUCGUAGUCCAUGCCGUAAACGAUGUGUGUUAGACGUUGGAAAUUUAUUUUCAGUGUCGCAGCAAAAGCGAUAAACACACCGCCUGGGGAGUACGACCGCAAGGUUAAAACUCAAAUGAAUUGACGGGGACCCGCACAAGUAGUGGAGCAUGUGGUUUAAUUCGAAGAUACGCGCAGAACCUUACCAACACUUGACAUGUUCGUCGCGACUCUAAGAGAUUAGAGUUUUCGGUUCGGCCGGACGAAACACAGGUGCUGCAUGGCUGUCGUCAGCUCGUGUCGUGAGAUGUUGGGUUAAGUCCCGCAACGAGCGCAACCCUCACUUUUAGUUGCCAUCAUUAAGUUGGGCACUCUGAAAGAACUGCCAGUGAUAAGCUGGAGGAAGGUGGGGAUGACGUCAAGUCCUCAUGGCCCUUACGUGUUGGGCUACACACGUGCUACAAUGGUAUCUACAACAGGAAGCAAGACGGCGACGUCAAGCAAAUCCUUAAAAGAUACCUCAGUUCGGAUUGCACUCUGCAACUCGAGUGCAUGAAGCUGGAAUUACUAGUAAUCGUGGAUCAGCGUGCCACGGUGAAUGCGUUCCCGGGUCUUGCACACACCGCC
rnacentral:rRNA from 1 species